UACAGAGGUGGCAAGCGUUGUUCGGAAUUACUGGGCGUAAAGGGCGCGUAGGCGGUUCUGUAAGUCCCGCGUGAAAUCCCCCGGCUCAACUCGGGAACUGCGCUUGAUACUGUCGAGCUAGAGUGUGGAAGGGGCGAUUGGAAUUCCGUGUGUAGCGGUGAAAUGCGUAGAUAUACGGAGGAACACCAGAGGCGAAGGCGGAUCGCUGGGCCAACACUGACGCUGAGACGCGAAAGCUAGGGUAGCAAACGGG
rnacentral:rRNA from 1 species